rnacentral:tRNA from 1 species
AGAGACUUAGGUUAAGCAUAGACCAAGGACCUUCAAAGCCCUAAGCGAGAGUGAAAAUCUUUCAGUCCCUG